GUCUUUAAGAAUUUAAUUUAAAGUUUAAUNUGCCCAAUGAAAUUUUAAAUGGCUGCAGUAAUUUAACUGUACAAAGGUAGCAUAAUAAUUUGUUUUUUAAUUAAAAACUAGAAUGAAAGAUUAAAUGAAAUAAAAACUUUUUAAAUUAAAUAUUAAUUAAAUUUUUUUUUUAAGUUAAAAAACUUAAAUAUUUUAUAAAGACGAUAAGACCCUAUAGAAUUUUAUUUUUAAUUAAUUUAUUGAAAAUUUUUAAAAAUUUUAUUGGGGUAAUAAAAAAAUUAAAUUAAUUUUUUUUAAAAAAUACAUUUAUUUAUGAAUUUUUUAAUUUAAAAUUUAAAUUUAAAAAAUUAAUUACCUUAGGGAUAACAGUAUAAUUUUUUUUGAAAGUUCUUAUUUAUAAAAAANAUUAU
rnacentral:rRNA from 1 species